AACGGAUAAAAGGUACUCCGGGGAUAACAGGCUGAUACCGCCCAAGAGUUCAUAUCGACGGCGGUGUUUGGCACCUCGAUGUCGGCUCAUCACAUCCUGGGGCUGAAGUAGGUCCCAAGGGUAUGGCUGUUCGCCAUUUAAAGUGGUACGCGAGCUGGGUUUAGAACGUCGUGAGACAGUUCGGUCCCUAUCUGCCGUGGGCGCUGGAGAACUGAGGGGGGCUGCUCCUAGUACGAGAGGACCGGAGUGGACGCAUCACUGGUGUUCGGGUUGUCAUGCCAAUGGCACUGCCCGGUAGCUAAAUGCGGAAGAGAUAAGUGCUGAAAGCAUCUAAGCACGAAACUUGCCCCGAGAUGAGUUCUCCCUGACUCCUUGAGAGUCCUGAAGGAACGUUGAAGACGACGACGUUGAUAGGCCGGGUGUGUAAGCGCAGCGAUGCGUUGAGCUAACCGGUACUAAUGAACCGUGAGGCUUAACCUUACAACGCCGAAG
rnacentral:rRNA from 1 species